ACACCAAUGGUGAAGUGGUUAUCAUGCUUGCCUUCCAUCAAUUCCUUAUCAAGCAAGCGGCGGGGGUUCAAUUCCCUCUUGGUGUA